rnacentral:rRNA from 1 species
UACGAAGGGGGCUAGCGUUGCUCGGAAUCACUGGGCGUAAAGCGCACGUAGGCGGCUUUUAAGUCAGGGGUGAAAUCCUGGAGCUCAACUCCAGAACUGCCUUUGAUACUGAGAGCUUGAGUCCGGGAGAGGUGAGUGGAACUGCGAGUGUAGAGGUGAAAUUCGUAGAUAUUCGCAAGAACACCAGUGGCGAAGGCGGCUCACUGGCCCGGUACUGACGCUGAGGUGCGAAAGCGUGGGGAGCAAAGCAGG